rnacentral:lncRNA from 1 species
UGGGGACUGACCCCAAGGGUGUUCUCCUGAAAUCCCCAGACCUAUGUUUGUAUUUGUUGACAUAGGGUCUUGCUAAAUUGCUGAGACAAGCCUUGAACUUGCAAUCCUCCUGCCUUGGCCUCCUGGGUAUCCAUGAUUAUAGGUGUGAACUACCACACCUCGCUAGGCCUAAGUACUUUUUAGACAUGAAUUUCUAUCAAGAUAUUCUUGGUACUGUAACAGAGUCUUACUUGAAUGGUCUUAUUCCAGAAAGCAUUAUUGGAGUAUUAUCUCCAAACUUGACAUAAGAUUGAGAAGUUGAUGAGCAUGCAUAUAUCCAAUGUGAGUUUGUGACUCCAUGGCAUCAUCAAUACAUAUGUACAUCAUAAAUAUACAUACACACACCCACCAGGGAUUGAAUCCAGAAGUGUUAAACCACUGAGUAUACCCCCAACCCUUUUUAUAUUUUAUUUUGAGACAGGGUUUUGCCAAGUUGCUGAGACAGGCGUCAAAUUUAGGAUGUUCCUGCCUCAGCCUCCUGAGCUGCCAGGGAUUACAGGUGUGUUCUACCAAGCAAGGCCAAAGCAUCGUGUUUCUUAUUCAGAGUAUAGGUGAGGCUUUAUCUUUAAACAUACUAGUCUCCUGGAAGAAAAUAUCACCCUGAUGCUUAUUCUCCAAAAUUGGCCAUCUGUCUUUUUUGGGGGAUGUGGGGAAGCCAACUUUGAUUUAUACAGAUUAAGAAAAUGGACUUAGCCUUAAGGUGUUGGUCAAUGUUUGAAUACAUUUUGUGUAAAAGAAACAUUUGUAACAUUUUUCUUCUAUUAUAAAAUGUAAUUCCUCUCUGGGCUUGGUGGCACAAGUCUGUGAUCCCAGCGACUCAGGCAGCUGAGGCAGGAGGAUCACAAGUUUGAGGCCAGCCUCAGCAACUUAGACCUUUUCUCAAAAAUGGCUGCAAUGUAGCUCAGUGGAAGAACAUCACUGGGAUAAACCCCCAGUACUGCAAAUACGUAUAUAGAUCCUGGGUACUGCUACAGUACAAUUCAUACCUGCAAAGGAGUUAAGCAAGACAGACACUCCUUAUACUAACAGACACUGUCCUUGUUCUAAAAAGAGAAAAACUGAGCUGCUGUCAGUAUCCCACAGAUUGUAUAAUUUAAUUAUUGAAUGCUGUAAGCAUAAUUGUCUUUCCUCACAACAAAAGAAUACUUUCCUAUCUAAUAAAAGGAAUACAGAUGUCCAUCCUGCCCAAACUAAAGUAUUUCCUCAAAUGUCAUUCUUACUAUGAAUCCAGCCAAGGAUAUCCAACAUGCAAUCUCAACCUAGCCCUUUGACUUUUCUCUAUGUUCUGAUUAUUUUUUCUGUUUGUAAUAGGGUCUUGUAAAAUACUAUGCUACUUAAUACUGUAGAUGAAUUUCUGGUUGACUGAUUCCAUCAACCACAGUGUAAGUUCCAUGUAGGGAAAUUUCUUUUAUGCUGUGAUUCCUGAUACAUCCUACAUAUCUUGCAAUGUGCCCGAAACUUAUAGGGUAUCUAAUAAAUAUUUUUUGAACUGCUAAAUGAAUAGGACCACAGUCUCCAUUUGCAACACUCUGAAUCCUAUUUCAAACUCGGCUGACUUUCUGUCUCUUCCUUUAAUUUUACUACCCUUGGUGCUGUAAGAAAUGGGGGAAGAAGUCUUAUUUUGUAGACAAACACUUAAAUUCAGUACCAGUACUGGUUGGUCCUGUGCUUAGUUUUUUUUCAUUUAGUUGAUGUCAGUGAUCUCUGCUCUUCCUACAUGGAUAUUUUGCUUGUAUAUGUAAGUAACUAGUUUUCCCCACCUGCUACUAGUACUCCUUUUGGGCAUCUUUAUUAUUCACUUUUUAUUUAUUCCUUUUUAGAUAUGCAUGAUAGUAUAAUAAGUCCAGAAACUUGCUUUAUUCACACAUGUUCUCAGAGAUCAUCACUUCCCAGCAAGGAGACACAGUCAUGAAGUCUCAAAACUUUAUCCAGAUAUCCCCUGUGACACUGGUACCCCGUAGGAGGCAAACUCAGACUUG